rnacentral:rRNA from 1 species
AGUGAACGCUGGCGGUAGGCCUAACACAUGCAAGUCGAACGGCAGCACAGGAGAGCUUGCUCUCUGGGUGGCGAGUGGCGGACGGGUGAGGAAUACAUCGGAAUCUGCCCAGUCGUGGGGGGUAACGUAGGGAAACUUACGCUAAUACCGCAUACGACCUUCGGGUGAAAGAGGGGGAUCGCAAGACCUCUCGCGAUUGGAUGAGCCGAUGUCGGAUUAGCUAGUUGGCGGGGUAAUGGCCCACCAAGGCGACGAUCCGUAGCUGGUCUGAGAGGAUGAUCAGCCACACUGGAACUGAGACACGGUCCAGACUCCUACGGGAGGCAGCAGUGGGGAAUAUUGGACAAUGGGCGCAAGCCUGAUCCAGCCAUACCGCGUGGGUGAAGAAGGCCUUCGGGUUGUAAAGCCCUUUUGUUGGGAAAGAAAUCUUUCAGGCUAAUACCCUGGGAGGAUGACGGUACCCAAAGAAUAAGCACCGGCUAACUUCGUG